rnacentral:rRNA from 1 species
AUUGAACGCUGGCGGCAUGCCUUACACAUGCAAGUCGAACGGUAACAGGCCGCAAGGUGCUGACGAGUGGCGAACGGGUGAGUAAUGCAUCGGAACGUGCUCAGUCGUGGGGGAUAACGCAUCGAAAGAUGCGCUAAUACCGCAUACGAACUAAGGAUGAAAGCGGGGGACCGUACGGCCUCGCGCGAUUGGAGCGGCCGAAGUCAGGUUAGGUAGUUGGUGGGGUAAAGGCUCAACAAGCCAACGAGCUGUAGCUGGUCGGAGAGGACGAACAGCUACACUGGGACAGAGACACGGCACAGACGCCUACGGGAGGGAGCGGUGGGGAAGUUGGGACAAUGGGCGCAAGGCUGAUCCAGCAAUGCCGCGUGCAGGAAGAAGGCCUUCGGGUUGUAAACUGCUUUAGUACGGAACGAAAAGGCUCUGGUUAAUACCUGGGGCUCAUGACGGUACCGUAAGAAUAAGCACCGGCUAACUACGUGCCAGCAGCCGCAGUAAAAC